rfam:Danio rerio chromosome 2, GRCz11 reference primary assembly.
CGCCACAGCCAUAUCACCCUGCAGCCCAAGACUGGUUACUCACUGAAGAUAAGCAGGGCUGAGCCUGGUCAGUACCUGGAUGGUAGACCACUAGGGUAAACUAGGUUGCUGUCGGAA